rnacentral:rRNA from 14 species
AUAAGGAAACUCAAGUUUUAUGAGACUCAAAAAUUAAAGAAAAAUUAAAAACAAAAAUAAAUUGAAAUUUAACGAAAUUUGAACAAAAAUUAAAAUUUCGAAAUUGAUGAAAAACUUUUUUAGUUCACUCAUCGUUUUUCUAGCUGCCAUCGUAUUCGAGAAUUACGUAUUUCUAUAUUAAUUCAGAUU